rnacentral:rRNA from 1 species
UAGGGACAGUCGGGGGCAUCAGUAUUCAAUUGUCAGAGGUGAAAUUCUUGGAUUUAUUGAAGACUAACUACUGCGAAAGCAUUUGCCAAGGAUGUUUUCAUUAAUCAGUGAACGAAAGUUAGGGGAUCGAAGACGAUCAGAUACCGUCGUAGUCUUAACCGUAAACUAUGCCGACUAGGGAUCGGGCGAUGUUUUUAUCUUGACUCGCUCGGCACCUUACGAGAAAUCAAAGUUUUUGGGUUCUGGGGGGAGUAUGG